rnacentral:rRNA from 1 species
UACGGGGGGGGCAAGCGUUGUUCGGAAUUACUGGGCGUAAAGGGCUCGUAGGCGGCCAACUAAGUCGGAUGUGAAAUCCCCGGGCUCAACCUGGGAACUGCAUUUGUGACUGCAUCGCUGGAGUGCGGCAGAGGGGGAUGGAAUUCCGCGUGUAGCAGUGAAAUGCGUAGAUAUGCGGAGGAACACCGAUGGCGAAGGCAAUCCCCUGGGCCUGCACUGACGCUCAUGCACGAAAGCGUGGGGAGCAAACAGG